rnacentral:rRNA from 1 species
UACGUACGAGGCAAGCGUUAUCCGGAAUUAUUGGGCGUAAAGAGCGUGUAGGCGGCCUGGCAAGUCCGCUGUGAAAACUCGAGGCUUAACCUCGAGACGUCGGUGGAAACUGCCUGGCUAGAGUCCGGAAGAGGAGAGUGGAAUUCCUGGUGUAGCGGUGAAAUGCGCAGAUAUCAGGAAGAACACCCGUGGCUAAGGCGGCUCUCUAGUACGGUACUGACGCUGAGACGCGAAAGCGUGGGGAGCGAACAGG